AUGUACGAUGUGAUAAAAUAACAUAUAGUAAAGUAUGAAUAUAACAAAGUAUUAUCAUUAAUAAUUUUGAUAACUAAGUUUUCUUUUUCGGUUGAUAAAGUAGGGAGUUUCUUUAACUUAUUGGUACAGUUGGUAAAGUUGGUACACCAUACCUCAAUCCAAAGUUAGCGUGAAGUGGCUCUGAAGUCCGCAGCAAUCAUAAUUUUUUAAUUGAAGCGCUUUCCUGCAAAUAAAUUGAUCAACAUCAUUUGAUCACUAACCUAUCACGAGAGUUUCCAGACGUAUAUACAGACCUAUAUAUGACCGAGAUCAGGAGUCCGGACUCCAAAUGUGGAACACGAAAAGGCAUUGAAUGUCACGGCUAUUAUUUGCCUCGAUUUGGAAGUGAACAAAAUUUAUAUAUAUCUGGCUUAAUAAAUCGUGGUGGAAAUGGUCUUAAUGGACUCAUCAUAUGCCUAAUUCCUCCUAAAGGUGGUACUUGCCUUCGAAUUGGAACCAAAUGUCCAACCAUUAUUGGUCUCGGAGGAAAACCCUAAUGACCAAUGAAAUUUAAUGUCAGAAGAAUUAUAUUCCACGUAUAAAUUGAAUACUUACUCCAUAAUAAACAGGAACAGGAAUGGGUUCAAUAUAAUGUGAUGAAGGCAGUGUACGUUCUCCAGACUUAUCCCUUUCUCUUCUUUCUCGGAAUCGCUCUCUCGAUCUUUCUCGAUAAGGUCUUUCGUGUUUAGAUGAUUUGUUGCUUCAAUAAUAUUUAUAACAUUUAGUUUUCAAGAAACAUCAUUUUACAUUAUUUCAUAUGUUUUAUUAUGUACCUGUUGUGACAAUCUUUGGCCCAUGCUCUUUGUUCUCCUUCCCUUGAAUGUGAAUUAUCUCUAUGACUUUUUCUUUUUCGCAGAUGCUUUUCCUCUGCAGUGUGCAAUUGACUAUGUGGCCUGACUUUUUCUUUAUACUCUCUACUUCCACCUCUACUAUGAUCUCUGUCUCUAAAUAAAUUAUACAACACUACAAUAAAACUGAAAAAUAAACAUAUUAAACAAAUAUACAAAAUUAUAACAAAUAAUUGGUACCUAUCAUUUCUAUAACUAUCCCUGUUAUUAUGUUUUGAAUCUUUAUACCUAAAAAAGAAUACUUAAGUAACAGAAGUUCAAUUUGAAACUUUACAUUAAAUUAUCUUUUAACUAAACAUUGUUAUAUUAAAACAUAAAAUAUAAGUACUAUUAUUAUUAAUAUAUUAACAUAAUAUAUUAACGUAUUGAUUAUAUUAUAUAAUUUUUAUGUUUUAAUACAGCAAUACUCUGUAAAUAAUAUCUAUAUUUCACCAAAUAUUGAAUUUAUUUAUAUAUAAAUUAUAUAAAAAUGGUAUAAAUUACUAAAAAGAAAAAAUAGUUAAUAGUAGUAAAUAUUGAUGAAUAAUCGUGCAUUAUAACAAGUUAGAAAUUAUAAGUGCUGAAAUUUACUAUAAAAUGUAAGUAAAAGCAAAUAGAAUAAUUCUCAAAGUAAUAUUAGACAUAAAUGUAAAAAAUAAACAGAUUUGU
rnacentral:misc_RNA from 1 species